AUAACAGUCUAUUUCUUUUAAUCAAUUCAAUUUCAGUCCCUUCUUUGUUCAGUACAAAUAUAUAAUCACAGAAUAUCAUCAAAAGGUAUACAAUAUUGCAACCAAAAUAAUAGUUCAAUAUUAUGAAUUA